GGCAAAAUGAGAGUCCGACUGUCUCUUAUAACUAAUCAAUUAAACUGAUCCCCCAGUACAAAAGCUGAGAUACCACCAUAAGACCAGAAGACCCUGUGAAGCUUUAACUAACCUAUUAAACCCAAUAAUAAUUAAUUUCGGUUGGGGCGACCUUGGAACAAAAAAGAACUUCCAAUAUAUGACUUCAUCAUACAAAAGGCAAACAAGCCACAUUAGACCCAGUAUAUCUGAUUAAUGAACCAAGUUACUCCAGGGAUAACAGCGCUAUCUUCUUCAAGAGCCCAUAUCAAAAAGAAGGUUUACGACCUCGAUGUUGGAUCAGGACAUCCUAGUAAUGCAACCGUUACUAAGGGUUCGUUUGUUCAACGAUUAACAGUCCUACGUGA
rnacentral:rRNA from 1 species